rnacentral:miRNA from 1 species
GGGCUGGGCUGGAGAUCAGGUUUGCCCACUUGCUUGAAAAGGAUGUUCUGGUGAGGAAUCCUGAUCUCUCUGUCCCAA